UCGCACUAUGAAAGAUUACUAGCAAUAAAAAGAUGUCCAAGAAUCUUAUUCCUAUUCAUCCUAUUACUAAGAAUGUGGCAUUCCUGUGUUUGGUUCGCACGGUUAUAUUAUUUAGUCAUGUUAUUUAAGUUUACAAAAAAUAUACAAUUUAUUUAUUUAUUUUCUUUAAUUAAUUUUAGAUAAUGCCACCGAAAAUUUCAACAUCUUUUUAGAAAAAAGGGAGAAAGAGAACAAAGGUUAGAGAGAGAGAGCAUAAUUAAAGAAAUAGGAAGAGAAAUAGAAUCGAGAUUAGAGGGAGUGAGAGAGUUGAGAUUUUAGAAAAAGAGGGGGGAGAGAGCUUAGUUUAGAGAAAGAAAAAGAGUUGAAGUUUAGAGAGAAAAAAAUAAGUUUAAAGAGAGAUAUGAGAUUAGAGUGUAAAGAAAAAUAAAACCAACUAGCCGGCGGGUAGGGAGAAAGAAAGAGAUUAGACAUAUUAUGAUUACCCCAAUCCAUUAAUAUGAUGAUACCCACCCUCCCUCAAGGGGAUGAGAUUAGUACUUUGGGAUAAAUCUCAUUCCCAAGUAAAUCUAAUAUUACCAACUAGAUUACUAAGUGCGUUUAACCAAACACCGUCAUAUUUUUUUUAUUCCU
rnacentral:lncRNA from 1 species